rnacentral:rRNA from 1 species
GAUGAACGCUGGCGGCGUGCCUAAUACAUGCAAGUCGAGCGAACAGACGAGGAGCUUGCUUCUCUGAUGUUAGCGGCGGACGGGUGAGUAACACGUGGAUAACCUACCUAUAAGACUGGGAUAACUUCGGGAAACCGGAGCUAAUACCGGAUAAUAUAUUGAACCGCAUGGUUCAAAAGUGAAAGACGGUCUUGCUGUCACUUAUAGAUGGAUCCGCGCUGCAUUAGCUAGUUGGUAAGGUAACGGCUUACCAAGGCAACGAUGCAUAGCCGACCUGAGAGGGUGAUCGGCCACACUGGAACUGAGACACGGUCCAGACUCCUACGGGAGGCAGCAGUAGGGAAUCUUCCGCAAUGGGCGAAAGCCUGACGGAGCAACGCCGCGUGAGUGAUGAAGGUCUUCGGAUCGUAAAACUCUGUUAUUAGGGAAGAACAUAUGUGUAAGUAACUGUGCACAUCUUGACGGUACCUAAUCAGAAAGCCACGGCUAACUACGUG